CCGGGCAGCAGAGCCUACCGGUUGAUGUCUCAAACGCGUUGUGCUUGUUUUGUCCAGCAGAGGGGGCUGCUCGAUAUAGUAGAAGAAAAAGAGUGAAUGAAGCUGCUAACUAUUUGCUGGGAGCUAGUUUUAGAGAGACCUGCUGUGGAAAACUCAGCCAGAAGCUAGCAAGUGUCAAGUGAAUCCACAACAUUACCACAAACAAACAAGCCAGAGAGUGGAGAGGAGGAAGACUGGAUAAGAAGAGUGAAAGAGAGAAAAGAUUGGAGAGGAAGGAGAAGGAAAAAUGAAGAGAGUAAAAAGAGUGAAGUGAUGAGAUUGCAGAAGAUUGAGGUGGAAAUUUGAAGAGAAGGAAAGAAAGAAAGAGCAGUAAGAUGAGUGAAGAAAAGAGGAGGAGAAAGAUUGGAGAGGAAGGAAAAGAGUAAUAAGAGCAGACAGAGGAGGUACAAUGGCUCUUCCCAAGAAACGGAAUGAAUGAUAUAUGGACAACAGCAAGAAAUAGGUUCACUGUUCCUACCAUCAAGGCCGUGCUUAUUGUGAAGACAAACUUCAACCUCCCCUGCCAGGAGUUCAUGGAGAAGCAGGCCAAAGAAGAGAAAUCC